GGUGAGUGAUACAUCGGAGCGUGCCCUGUAAUGGGGGAUGGCUCGGCUAAAGCCGGAUUAAUACCGCAUACGCCCUGAGGGGGAAAGUGGGGGACCGCAAGGCCUCACGUUAUUGGAGCGGCCGAUGGCUGAUUAGCUAGUUGGUAGGGUAAAGGCCUACCAAGGCGACGAUCACUAGCUGGUCUGACAGGACGAUCAUCCACACUGGGACUGAGACACGGCCCAGACUCCUACGGGAGGCAUCCUGGGGAAUUUUGGACAAUGGGGGAAACCCUGAUCCAGCAAUGCCGCGUGUGCGAAGAAGGCCUUCUGGUUGUAAAGCACUUUUGUCAGGGAAGAAAUCCUUUGGGCUAAUACCCUACGGGGAUGACGGUACCUGAAUAAUAAGCACCGGCUAACUACGUGCCAGCAGCCGCGGUAAUACGUACGGUGCAAGCGUUAAUCGGAAUUACUGGUC
rnacentral:rRNA from 1 species